UUGUAUUGUUGGUGUGGAAAUGGAAAAAUCGAUGUGCGAGAAUGUAUUGAAUAAAACAAUUUCACGGACAAUAAAAUUCUCGCGUUCGAAAAACUUCCAAAGGAGAACAGAAUCAAACUGUUGGCGUCCAUGGCGAAUGUUAUUAAUUGUUAUUUUUUUGUGUACUUUUUAUCGAUUUUUCGAUUUUAUGAUAUAUGAUUCUUCGAAUAACAUCUUACGAUAUGUGCAAUUUAGGGCUAUUUGGGAGAAGCAGUUAAUUGGAUUGAAUGUUGUUGAUAAGGGCAUUUAAUUCGUGCGUUUCGGUGACAUGGGAUACAUCGAUUUUUGGUCCCGCCAGCCCAUUGGUCGGCUUGCGAUUGCCAUUUUAUUUAUGUCUAUAUACACGAUUCGAUGUAGGAUGUUAAGCUUUAUAUACACGACCGGCUUCACCAACCCGGUACCGAGGCUCGCCAGGCGGCAUGUCAAACAGCAGGAGACCGUUGGUUAAAUUGAAAAACAACCUCCCACCAUUUUCGCUAGCGAACGUAAUAAAUCUAUGUACAAAAAUUCUACACGUUAUUUAUGAAAUCUAUCAAAGGUACCUUAUCUAUUAAAGUACAUCGUCGGUAACA